ACCUGGCUGGCUCAGUCGGUAGAACAUGUGACUCUUGAUCUCAGGGUGGUGAAUUCAAAUCCCACGUUAGGUG
rnacentral:tRNA from 1 species